AUUGAACGCUGGCGGCGUGCCUAAUACAUGCAAGUAGAACGCAGUUGCUAACGGGUGAGUAACGCGUAGGUAACUACCUGGUAGCGGGGGCGAACUAUUGGAAACGAUAGCUACUACCGCAUACUCCCAGCUGGCCCUGCGUUGUAUUCGGGAGUUGGUGGGGUAACGGCGCACCAAGGCACCGAUACAUAGCCUACCUGAGAGGGUGAUCGGCAACACUGGGACUGAGACACGGCCCAGACUCAUACGGGAGGCAGCAGGAGGGAAUCUGCGGCAAUGGACGGAAGUCUGACCGAGAAACGCCGCGGGAGGGAAGAAGGUUUUCGGAUCGUAAAGCUCUGUUGUAAGAGAAGCGGUAUCUUACCAGAAAGGGACGGCUAACUACGUGCCAGCAGCCGCGGUAAUUC
rnacentral:rRNA from 1 species